AACGAACGCUGGCGGCGUGGAUAAGACAUGCAAGUCGAACGGGUUAAAUUUGGUAGUAAUAUCAAAUUUGGCUAGUGGCGCACGGGUGAGUAACACGUGAGUAAUCUGCCGAGAAGUGGGGGAUAGCUUGCCGAAAGGCAAAUUAAUACCGCAUGUGAUAGUAAUAUUAAAGUCGGGGUAACCUGACGCUUCUUGAUGAGCUCGCGGCCUAUCAGCUUGUUGGCGGGGUAACGGCCCACCAAGGCUAUGACGGGUAGCUGGUCUGAGAGGACGACCAGUCACACUGGAACUGAGACACGGUCCAGACACCUACGGGUGGCAGCAGUCGAGAAUUUUUUCUCAAUAGGGGAAACCCUGAAGGAGCGACGCCGCGUGGAGGAUGAAGGGCUUUCGGGUCGUAAACUCCUGUCAUUAGGGAACAAUUGUCAGCGAUUAACUGUCGCGGGCUUGAUAGUACCUGAAGAGGGAAGGGACGGCUAAACUC
rnacentral:rRNA from 1 species